UACGGAGGGGGCUAGCGUUGUUCGGAAUUACUGGGCGUAAAGCGCACGUAGGCGGCUUUGUAAGUUAGAGGUGAAAGCCCGGAGCUCAACUCCGGAAUUGCCUUUAAGACUGCAUCGCUAGAAUUGUGGAGAGGUGAGUGGAAUUCCAGGUGUAGCGGUGAAAUGCGUAGAUAUCUGGAGGAACACCGGUGGCGAAGGCGGCAUCCUGGACCGGUAUUGACGCUGAGGCGCGACAGCGUGGGGAGCAAACAGG
rnacentral:rRNA from 1 species